rnacentral:rRNA from 1 species
GGUUAAGCGACUAAGCGUACACGGUGGAUGCCCUGGCAGUCAGAGGCGAUGAAGGACGUGCUAAUCUGCGAAAAGCGUCGGUAAGGUGAUAUGAACCGUUACAGCCGGCGAUGUCCGAAUGGGGAAACCCAGUGCAAUUCGUUGCACUAUCGUUAACUGAAUACAUAGGUUAACGAGGCGAACCGGGGGAACUGAAACAUCUAAGUACCCCGAGGAAAAGAAAUCAACCGAGAUUCCCCCAGUAGCGGCGAGCGAACGGGGAGCAGCCCAGAGUCUGAAUCAGCUUGUGUGUUAGUGGAACGGUCUGGAAAGUCCGACGGUACAGGGUGAUAGUCCCGUACACCAAAAUGCACAGGCUGUGAACUCGAAGAGUAGGGCGGGACACGUGGUAUCCUGUCUGAAUAUGGGGGGACCAUCCUCCAAGGCUAAAUACUCCUGACUGACCGAUAGUGAACCAGUACCGUGAGGGAAAGGCGAAAAGAACCCCGGCGAGGGGAGUGAAAAAGAACCUGAAACCGUGUACGUACAAGCAGUGGGAGCCUACUUGUUAGGUGACUGCGUACCUUUUGUAUAAUGGGUCAGCGACUUAUAUUCAGUGGCAAGCUUAAC